rnacentral:rRNA from 1 species
AGCAGUAGCCGCGGGAAUACGUAGGGUGCAAGCGUUAAUCGGAAUUACUGGGCGUAAAGCGUGCGCAGGCGGUUCUAUAAGACAGAUGUGAAAUCCCCGGGCUCAACCUGGGAACUGCAUUUGUGACUGUAGAGCUGGAGUACGGUAGAGGGGGAUGGAAUUCCGCGUGUAGCAGUGAAAUGCGUAGAUAUGCGGAGGAACACCGAUGGCGAAGGCAAUCCCCUGGACCUGUACUGACGCUCAUGCACGAAAGCGUGGGGAGCAAACAGGAUUAGAUACCCCUGUAGUCCCUGUCUCUUAUAC